rnacentral:rRNA from 1 species
UACGGAGGGGACUAGCGUUGUUCGGAAUUACUGGGCGUAAAGCGCACGUAGGCGGAUUUGUAAGUCAGGGGUGAAAUCCCGGGGCUCAACCUCGGAACUGCCUUUGAUACUGCAAAUCUCGAGUCCGGAAGAGGUGAGUGGAAUUCCUAGUGUAGAGGUGAAAUUCGUAGAUAUUAGGAAGAACACCAGUGGCGAAGGCGGCUCACUGGUCCGGUACUGACGCUGAAGUGCGAAAGCGUGGGGAGCAAACAGGG